GGGACCGUUUGGUUUUGACAGCAAGUUGAAGCGAAACAGUAAGCACGUAGAGGGAUUGCAGGUAUCCUCUCAAAUAUCACAGGCAAGCCAUUAAACGGCAACAAUUAUAACUACGCUUUAGCUGCCUAACCCAGUGGGUUACGCAGUAGCUGCUCCCGAUAAAGCCCUGACAUCCGGCUCGUAUCAAUGGGAGUAUCGGUUAAAAGAAUGUUCGUUUGGAGUCUUUUCUUCAAGACUUUAAACGUAAAUAGAAGAUAAGGGCAAGAUAGGAUGCUGCCGUCCGGUCUUUCCUCGAAAAAUAAUCGGCAGAUAAACGUGUAGAAACCUAUUUUACUCCUUGUUUGGACGGCGGUUCGACUCCGCCCGGUUCCACAU
rnacentral:tmRNA from 1 species